CUACGGCGGCUGCAGUGGGGAAUAUUGGACAAUGGGCGAAAGCCUGAUCCAGCCAUGCCGCGUGUGUGAAGAAGGCCUUCGGGUUGUAAAGCACUUUCAGUGGGGAAGAAAGCCUUGGGGCUAAUACCCUCGAGGAAGGACAUCACCCACAGAAGAAGCACCGGCUAACUCCGUGCCAGCAGCCGCGGUAAUACGGAGGGUGCGAGCGUUAAUCGGAAUUACUGGGCGUAAAGCGCGCGUAGGCGGUCUGAUAAGCCGGUUGUGAAAGCCCCGGGCUCAACCUGGGAACGGCAUCCGGAACUGUCAGGCUAGAGUGCAGGAGAGGAAGGUAGAAUUCCCGGUGUAGCGGUGAAAUGCGUAGAGAUCGGGAGGAAUACCAGUGGCGAAGGCGGCCUUCUGGACUGACACUGACGCUGAGGUGCGAAAGCGUGGGUAGCAAACAGGAUUAGAUACCCUGGUAGUC
rnacentral:rRNA from 1 species